CCUACGGGAGGCAGCAGUGGGGGAUAUUGCACAAUGGGGGGAACCCUGAUGCAGCGACGCCGCGUGGGUGAAGAAGCGCCUCGGCGCGUAAAGCUCUGUCAGCAGGGAAGAAAAUGACGGUACCUGAAGAAGAAGCCCCGGCUAACUACGUGCCAGCAGCCGCGGUCAUACGUAGGGGGCAAGCGUUAUCCGGAUUUACUGGGUGUAAAGGGAGCGCAGACGGCGAUGCAAGUCAGGAGUGAAAGCCCGGGGCUCAACCCCGGGACUGCUCUGGAAACUGCGUGGCUGGAGUGCAGGAGGGGCAGGCGGAAUUGCUGGUGUAGCGGUGAAAUGCGUAGAUAUCAGGAGGAACACCAGUGGCGAAGGCGGCCUGCUGGACUGUAACUGACGUUGAGGCUCGAAAGCGUGGGGAGCAAACAGGAUUAGAUACCCGAGUAGUC
rnacentral:rRNA from 1 species